UACGUAGGGUGCGAGCGUUGUCCGGAAUUAUUGGGCGUAAAGAGCUCGUAGGCGGUCUGUCGCGUCGGUCGUGAAAACCUGCAGCUUAACUGUGGGCGUGCGGUCGAUACGGGCAUGACUGGAGUUCGGCAGGGGAGACUGGAAUUCCUGGUGUAGCGGUGAAAUGCGCAGAUAUCAGGAGGAACACCGGUGGUGUAGACGGCUUACUGGACCACGACUGACACUGAGACGCGAAAGCGUGGGGAGCGAACAGG
rnacentral:rRNA from 1 species